UUGGGAAAAAGGAUGAUUGCUCUAUCGCAAGGUAGAGAGGAAAGUCCAGACAGCAUAAAGCACGGUACCUUGUGUAAACAAGGACGGGUAACCGCUAGUCUAGAGCAACAGAAACGAGUCCCGCCUAUGGCGAGGAAUGAAACGGGCAAUCCUUACCGGCUGCAACUUAUAGUAGUUAUUUGCUACCGCUUGUAGUAACUACAAAAACAAGGCAUUAGACAGAUGAUCAUCACAAAACAGAAUCUGGCUUACUCUUUUCCCAAAUAA
rnacentral:RNase_P_RNA from 7 species